rnacentral:rRNA from 1 species
AGUGAACGCUGGCGGUAGGCCUAACACAUGCGAGUCGAACGGCAGCACAGUAAGAGCUUGCUCUUACGGGUGGCGAGUGGCGGACGGGUGAGGAAUACAUCGGAAUCUACUUUUUCGUGGGGGAUAACGUAGGGAAACUUACGCUAAUACCGCAUACGACCUACGGGUGAAAGCAGGGGAUCUUCGGACCUUGCGCGAUUGAAUGAGCCGAUGUCGGAUUAGCUAGUUGGCGGGGUAAAGGCCCACCAAGGCGACGAUCCGUAGCUGGUCUGAGAGGAUGAUAAGCCACACUGGAACUGAGACACGGUCCAGACUCCUACGGGAGGCAGCAGUGGGGAAUAUUGGACAAUGGGCGCAAGCCUGAUCCAGCCAUACCGCGUGGGUGAAGAAGGCCUUCGGGUUGUAAAGCCCUUUUGUUGGGAAAGAAAAGCAGCAGGUUAAUACCCCGCUGUUCUGACGGUACCCAAAGAAUAAGCACCGGCUAACUUCGUG